rnacentral:rRNA from 1 species
UACAGAGGUGCCAAGCGUUUAGGCGGAAUCACUGGGCUUAAAGCGUGUGUAGGCGGAUUUGUAAGUACCUUGUGAAAUCCCAUGGCUCAACCAUGGAACUGCUCGGUAUACUGCGAAUCUUGAGCCACUUAGGGGCUACCGGAACAAAUGGUGGAGCGGUGAAAUGCGUAGAUAUCAUUUGGAACGCCAAUGGUGAAAACAGGUAGCUGGGAGUGUGCUGACGCUGGAGACACGAAAGCCAGGGGAGCGAAACGGG